GAGAAGUUGUAGAUUCCAUGUUCUGUGUUAUCGUUGUCUUGUCUCUCCGGCGCACAACUUCCAGUUCCCGCAACUCACAGGAAGUGACUACUUCAGAAUAAUUUUUAACAGAAACAUUUUUUAUAAAAAUGUAUCACUGGACUCAUAGAUUAUCUCUUUCUACUAUAAGUGUACACAAACAUGAGUCCCAAAUACAGGAAAACAAAUAGAAAACAAUACAACAACCUCAGACACGCUUCUGGUGUUGUCAUGGCAACCCACACAAACAUUUUAUCAUCAGCUACAUUCAGUAUGGUCACUUGUUAUUGUUAGCCCCUUCCCAAUAUUGUGGAAAACAUCUUAUUUUACUGUCACUGUAUAUCAUUCAUAAAGCACUGUCAUUAUUUCAUUAUUACUUCAUUAGUCCGCAUCAGCUUAUCAUCAAUAUUAUCAUGUAUCACAAUACUCUAUCAGUUAGUAGAGCACCAGUUUAGCUGGGGGUCCAGUCAGCCCGCAGUAAAGUCAUAUGAGGACACGGUGAACUUUUGUUGGCCGGAAACGGACACUCUCACACAACUACACAUUCUACACACUAUUGGUUAUGUUCCCAGAAUACAGAGGAGUGGAAACAUCUGGAACAUGUUGUUGUUCUUAGCCAUACAAGGACAUAGAAGGGUGAACUGACUGAUACUUAUCAGGUGAUUUGACGUCAUCAUUGCAAUAAAAGCCUUGUGUUAGGGUUGUUCUGGGGAGAUUGGCUCGUGAAGGCUGGUGGGGCUCAUCUUCCCCAUAUGUACAUAUGUAUAAUAAAAUCACUAUUCUGACAUCUACUGAGAGACCAUGCAGUCAUUUGUCUCUUCCUCAAAUUCGAACCUUGACAUUUUGGUGCCGAAACACCGGUUUGAGGGGAGACUAAUGGACCUUGGCUGACGGUCUAGUGGUGUCAGACGGACGGCCAGGAGCUCGACUGAGUGAUGGGCCCCGAAAUAGGAGAGGUAAGCACCGCCUGUUGUUGGAUCUCCAAAGGUGCUGAAUUGGAAAUCAAGCUAAAUUAAAUGUUCACUCAGUGGAGCUUCUGUUCUGUCCGUGGUGAUUUUGGGGUAAUUAGUGUUAAAACUUAAGGGGGAAUAUUUGAAGUGAACUGUUGAGUUAAGAGGGUAUGUGGUUUAAUUGAUCAGUAAAAACGCGGUUUUGGGUCUCAGGUAAUUAAACUGGAGGGCAGGGUACCCACAGUGAGGCUUUUAAAAUAAGUAAAUUUAAUUAGGACGGGGGCGUGGCCCCUAGGAAUGCAGUCUGUUCAGCAGGUGGCGCUGACCCCUAAUUGCGGACGCGUGGUUAGGUUUUAAGCUCGGAGUGGCUCUCCGUGGGACUUCGGACACCCGUUAAUAAAGCUAGGUGAUCUACGAGUGAUUGCCUUAAUACUGCAUUAAUUGACUGACAGGGUCGCGGACCCGGCCAGGACCACCCAACGUCGUUGGCCUGAGAGCUUUAAGUAAAGCUGAAGGCGUGGGUUUGAUACUAGCGCCAGAGGUGGAGCUCCUUCCCAGCUGCGGGAAAUGGUUAUAAAUCAAUUAGAGCUUAGGAAUUAGACUGCGAUCGGGAGGGCGGGUCCCGAAGCGUGUAAUUGAUCAGAAAGGCGCGGCCUGGGCUACAGAGGCUUUUAAAUUAGUCAAAAAGUUUAGGUACACCAGCAGAGAAAUAGAGAAAAGAAGCUGGUCUGGCAUGUGGUGUUUUUCUUACGUUUAUACGGGCCCGUGUGUAAAUAGAAUAUAAAUUACCGGUGUGUGUAAAUAAAGUGUAAAAUAGUGGUAUAAAUUGUCUGUUGAAUUUCUCCUGAGUGUUGAAAAAAGGAAAAACUCUUUUCUGCUCUCUCUGAGAGAGGGGCUGUGUGUGUGUGUGACAGGAAGAGUGCAUGCCCAUAGAAGGAAAGAGAUGAGGUAAACUCUGUGCAGAUAGACCGAAGUAAAAAAAAAAAAAGGAAAAGUGUGUCUCUCUCUCUGUCUCAAGCAGUUGCAAGGAGGGGGGCUUCUAACCCCGCGGUGUGUGUAUGAGGAGAGAAGGAGAGAGAGGGGGGCAGCGUGCGUCCAUUUAAUAUUGAGGAAAGUGCAGAAACAGUUUUUUUUUUUUUUUUUUUCUGUUUCUUUAAGUUUGAAUGGGCAUGAAGCGAAUGGAGGUUACGGAUAAAUAACGGUGGACUUCUCUCAACCUGGAAUUUUGGGUACGGCGCCAAAACCAGUAGAGUAACAUAAUUGGGAGAAAACAGGCCGGAUUUUGGCUUAAAAAGUUUUACAGCUUGACCUCCCACUUGUCCCGAUCCUGAGAAGAAGCUCAAAGGACAAUUAAUCUCCUGAUGAAGACCAAUAGAACAUCGUGAACUUGAGAAGAAUUUACAAGCAGCCGAAAAUAGUGCAACUGAACUGUUAACCCUGAAACCAAAACUGACAUGCACUCUGAGUUACAGGCUGGACAGUUGAACGGUGGGAAAGCACUGGACACUGAUUGUCAGAUUUGCCAUGCUUGGAGUAAUCGUGAAAGAGACGAUUGAAGCAUCAACAGCGAAGAAGAAAC
ensembl:lncRNA